rnacentral:rRNA from 1 species
AUGGACACACGUGCCGGCUACAACAGCUGCAGGACGGAUGGCAGAGGAUGCGGCUACGGUGGAACAAUGCCAACUUCUUGUAGACUGGCAGUCUCCGAGAGGAACCUUAACCCCCCGGGUGGCCGGGUGGGAUGGUAUACUUUUUUUCCACCACAAGUGGGAACUCGGUCCUUGGUAAGGCCAAAGAGGGAUUCGAGAUUUCACCGUAGACUGGGCCGGGCAGUGAAAUCAUGA